GCACCGAUAGUUUAGGGGUAGAAUUGAAGCUUCCCAUUCGAUGUCUGCUUCAGGCGCGGGUUCGAGUCCCGCUCGGUGCA
rfam:Clohesyomyces aquaticus strain CBS 115471 BCR34scaffold_80, whole genome shotgun sequence.